AAUGAUAUCGAAAUAUGUACAUUAUUCAUCCAGUGAUGUGAAACUAACCAAACGAAUCAUCGAAAUGGGACUGUUAAAUUGGUUUGAAUCGCUAAGUCCAGACGAAACCCUGUUUUACGGUGGCGCUUACACUUUAUUUAUGUGCCUUGGAUAUAGAUGGAUGAAAAAAGCUAUGAGGAAUGCUGUAGAAACCCAAAAGGGAAAAAUUGAAGCAAGAAAGAGAGACGAAGAAAACAGAAAUAUCCUACCAGACGAUCGUACUAGCUAGUCUAUCGUAUGUGGUGUGUUGUGGCCUUCUGUUCAGAUGGUUGUAUCUCGGCUUUAAAAAAGAUCUGGUGAUAAGAAGACAUCAGAUGUGGAAAGAGGAGGGUAUUCACAGUAUACGGAACAAUCAAACAUAUGAUGAGCAAUGACUCAAUGAUUAACGACAACUCGGAGUAAACA